rnacentral:rRNA from 1 species
UACGUAGGGGGCUAGCGUUAUCCGGAAUUACUGGGCGUAAAGGGUGCGUAGGUGGUUUCUUAAGUCAGAGGUGAAAGGCUACGGCUCAACCGUAGUAAGCCUUUGAAACUGGUGAACUUGAGUGCAGGAGAGGAGAGUGGAAUUCCUAGUGUAGCGGUGAAAUGCGUAGAUAUUAGGAGGAACACCAGUUGCGAGGCGGCUCUCUGGACUGUAACUGACACUGAGGCACGAAAGCGGUGGGAGCAAACAGGAUUAGAUACCCGUGUAGUCCCUGA